UUAUCGCAUGAAAGCGUGGGAGCAAACAGGAUUAGUACCUUGGUAGUCCACGCCCUAAACGAUGUCAAGUGGUUGUUGGGUAUUAAUUGACUCAGUAAUGAAGCUAACGCGUGAAGUUGACCGCCUGGGGAGUACGGCUGCAAGGUUGUAACUCAAAGGAAUCGACGGGGACCCGCACAAGCGGUGGAUGAUGUGGUUUAAUUCGAUGCAACGCGAAAAACCCUACCCACCUUUGACAUGGCAGGAACUUACCAGAGAUGGUUUGGUGCUCGAAAGAGAACCUGCACACAGGUUCUGCAUGGCUGUUGUCAGCUCGUGUCGUGAGAUGUUGGGUUAAGUCCUGCAACGAGAGCAACCCUUGCCAUUAGUUGCUACAUUCAGUUGAGCACUAUAAUGGGAUCGCCGGUGACAACCCGGAGGAAGGUGGGGAUGACGUCAAGUCCUCAUGGCCCUUAUAGGUGGGGCUACACCAGUCAUACAAUGGAUGGUACAAAGGGUUGCCAACCUGGGAGGGGGAGCUAAUCCCAUAAAGCCAGUCGUAGUCCGGAUCGCAGUCUGCAACUCGACUGCGUGAAGUCGGAAUUGCUAGUAAUUCUGGAUCAGAAUGUCACGGGGAAUACGUUCCCGGGUCUUGUACACUCCGCCCGUCACACCAUGGGAGCGGGUCUCGCCAGAAGUAGGUAGCCUAACCCCAAGGAGGGCGCUUACCACGGCGGGGUUCGUGACUGGGGUGAAGUCGUAACAAGGUAGCCCAAUCGGAAGUUGCGGCCGGAUCCCCUCUUU
rnacentral:rRNA from 1 species